rnacentral:rRNA from 1 species
UACAGAGGGGGCAAGCGUUAUUCGGAAUUAUUGGGCGUAAAGGGCGCGUAGGCGGCCAGGCAAGUGGAAGGUGAAAUCCCUCGGCUUAACCGAGGAACUGCCCUCCAAACUGCUUGGCUUGAGACCGGGAGAGGUGAGUGGAAUUCCCAGUGUAGCGGUGAAAUGCGUAGAUAUUGGGAGGAACACCAGUGGCGAAGGCGGCUCACUGGACCGGUACUGACGCUGAGACGCGAAAGCGUGGGGAGCAAACAGG